rnacentral:lncRNA from 1 species
UCUCUGUAAUGGAGCAAAAACAAUCCAUCUCGUAGCUAUCAUUUUGUAAAGGAUGUCUUGUGUAACGGAGCUAUCAUUCUGUAAUGGCUAAAUGUUUCUUUUUAUUUACUUAUGUUUAUUAUGGGCAUUAUUAGUGUUAUUUUUGUUUGGUUUUGGUUUAAUAUUUUUAGGGUACAUACAAGUUAUUGUAACUUGAUAGAUUGAUGAGAAAUGUAACCUGAUUGAUAUUGUUUUGACAAGGUAAUAUG